CUUGCACGAAUCGCAGACCUCAGCUCCCCGCUCGCGGCAUCUCGGCGAGUUGUAAAUUGCCGGUUGGAGUCUUUGUGGCGGCGUGUGUCUAAGUCCCUUGGAACAGGGCGCCAUUGAGGGUGAGAGCCCCGUGCGGCACGCGUCUAAGCUUUAAGACCCUUCUGACGAGUCCAGUUGUUUGGGAAUGCAGCUCUAAGUGGGUGGUAAAUUCCAUCUAAGGCUAAAUACUGGCGGAGAGACCGAUAGCGAACAGGUACUGUGAAGGAAAGAUGAAAAGCACUUUGAAAAGAGAGUGAAACAGCACGUGAAAUUGUUGAAAGGGAAGGGUAUUGGGCUCGACAUGGGGACUGCGCACCGUUGCUUCUUGUAGGCGGGGCUCUGUGCGGUUUCUGGGCCAGCAUCAGUUUUUGCCGCGAGAGAAUGGGGGGAGGAACGUGGCUCUUC
rnacentral:rRNA from 1 species